GCAUAAAGUACUGCCCCAGGGCCUGCACCUGCCCAUGGUCAGUCUUGUCUCCGAUAUACAGCCCUUCACAUGCACACACAGUGCACACAUCUACUCAAAACAGACAGGUGUCUCAAGGACAAGAGACCUCUGUUUUCCAUCACAGAUAAGGUCCUUAGACCAUCUCAUUUGGUAGUAUCAGCAGUAGGCAGGGCUUGGGCGAAGGUGCUCCUUGUCUCCCUCUCUGGGGACAGUCACUACUUCCUCUGGUUCCUCAAGAGCCUGGGGUAGCUAGCUCCCUCCCG
rnacentral:lncRNA from 1 species